UAAUUUACCUGCAGGCAGACGACCCGUGAACAUGUAACCACAACGGGGUGACCGUGAUAAGGGCCUCGGUCCUUAUCCCCUAACCCUUCCCGACGUGAGUUCGUGGUGUCUUUUUUGGGGCAUCAUGGAUUCCGUUGGACCAUAACAAAACCCCGGCACGGUAUGUGCCAAGGAAAACAAAAAUGAGAAGGACACUACCUGUUUCGCCCCGUUUGCGGUGUGCGUACAGGUCGUGGCCUCCUUGGAAUCACAAACGACUCUCGGCAACGGAUAUCUCGGCUCACGCAUCGAUGAAGAACGUAGCAAAAUGCGAUACUUGGUGUGAAUUGCAGAAUCCCGUGAACCAUCGAGUUUUUGAACGCAAGUUGCGCCCGAAGCCAUCCGGCUGAGGGCACGCCUGCCUGGGCGUCACGCAUCGCGUCGCUCCCCACCAUACCUCCCCAACGGGUUGGCAUGGUGUUGGGGGCGGAUAAUGGCCUCCCGUGCUUGUGUUUCGGUUGGCCUAAAUAAGAGUUCCCUUCGGCGGACACACGACUAGUGGUGGUUGAAUAGACCCUCGUCUUUUGUUGCGUGUCGUGAGCUGUAAGGGUAGCCCUCAUCAAAGACCCCAUUGUAUCGUCUUCGGAUGAUGCUUCGACCGCGACCCCAGGUCAGGCGGGACUACCCGCUGAGUUUAAGCAUAUCAAAA
rnacentral:rRNA from 1 species